GCCUGGGUGGCUCAGUCGGUUAAGUGUCUGACUUUGGCUCAGGUCAUGAUCUCCUGGUUCGUGGGUUUGAGCCCCACAUCAGGCU
rnacentral:tRNA from 1 species